rnacentral:rRNA from 1 species
UACGUAGGGUGCGAGCGUUAAUCGGAAUUACUGGGCGUAAAGCGUGCGCAGGCGGUUUGCUAAGACAGAUGUGAAAUCCCCGGGCUCAACCUGGGAACUGCAUUUGUGACUGUAGAGCUGGAGUACGGCAGAGGGGGAUGGAAUUCCGCGUGUAGCAGUGAAAUGCGUAGAUAUGCGGAGGAACACCGAUGGCGAAGGCAAUCCCCUGGGCCUGUACUGACGCUCAUGCACGAAAGCGUGGGGAGCAAACAGG